AUUGCUCACCAGCUGUACGAGUCCCAUAAAGCUGCCAGAAGGGCAGCACACAGGGAAGAGACUGGGGGAAGAAAGGACUCCCGUAUAGUUGGGGACGGGUCAAGACAUAUGACCAUGUCUUGUGUAACUUCUUCUGGUCUGAAACAGGAUGUUGUGGCUUACUGUAAAUCCUGUCACGUUUGCCAGCGAAUGUGUAAACCGAACUAAGCUGUACCGGUUCCACCUUUGCAGCCUAUUCCUGCUUUUUGCGAACCUUUCAGCAGGGUUCUGGUGGACUGUGUUGGUCCUUUUCCCAAAGCAAAGAGGGGUAACCAGUUUCUCUUGAUCAUCAUGUGCGCUGCCACUCGUUUCCCGGAUGCCAUUCCUCUGAGGAAAAUCAUGGCUCCAAGUAUUGUUAAGGUGAAUUUCAUGUCAAAGGUUUUCCAACAAGUGCUACAGCAGUUGGGUGGUACCCAUUGCCCCUCUAAUGCCUACCACCCAGAGUCUCAAAAUGCUCUUGAGAGACUUCAUCAUACUUUGAAGUCUAUGUUGAGAGCAUACUGCUAUGAGUUUCAGAAAGACUGGGAUAAAUGGGUUCUUCUUGUGCUGUUUGCAGUGCGUAAGGUUGUUCAGAAAUCUUUUGGUUUUAGUCCAAAUAAGCUUGUGUUUGGACAUUGUGUCAGAGGUCAUUUGAGCUUGCUGAGAGAGAGGUUGUUGCCGGACAACAUCUUAAAUAUGAAAACAAAUCUGUUGGCGCACGUUAGUGUUUUUCAAAACCGAUGCACCGCACCUUUGAAUUUGCCAGUGAGAAUCUGAGGAAGGCGCAAACAAAAAUUAAAUGUUGGUACGGUCGAAAGGCCUGAAGCAGCGCUUUUGAUGUCCUGGUGCUGUUGCCCAUUCUGGGGUUGCUUUUCAGGCCUUUACCCCAUAGUGAAAAAAAAUUGUUAUCAGGAUUAGGUCAUUGUUACAUCGGAGAGCAGGAAAAAACAUGGCUGUGUCAUGUCGACAUGUUGAAACCAUACUUCACCUGCUACGAUCGGGUGGAGAAGUCGGUGGAAUCCGGUAGUGAUCUUCUGCCUGUGGCCACUGCUGUCACCAUUGACUAUAGUCUUCCACAAGAGCACAAGGAUGUCUCCUCUGACAGUGUUGCAGUUCUUCCUGAACCACCUAAACUGCAGCAGUGGGCCAGCCGGACAACCCACAAGCCGGAGAACGAGCAGCUGGCAUGGGAGAAAACAUUAGAUCCAGACCCAACAUGGGUCCAUUUAGACAGAAACACAGGGAGUCCCAGACCUACACGCCAGCCUGUUCCACACUCCUCAUCUGGGUUCUCUGGGUCCACACUCAACCAAACAAGGCUGAGGACGAAGACAGAGAGACUAAACGUGGGUGCUAAAGGGACUCGGCACUGCUGGAGGGGGGUAGUGUUGUGCCACAUAAAUAGCAUACCCUCCUACUUUUACCCCUAGAUGAUUAACAGCUGUAUGUUCCAAUUGUCAUGACGUAGUAAGUAUGUGUUCAGUGUUUUUCAGUUGGUACGUCAGUUCUGUUGUAUGGCCCCUGUAUGGACACCUGUGUGUGAUCUGUACUGGAGCUAAAUAGUAACUAAAGUAUUAUAAUUGUCUGCAAUAAACAUC
rnacentral:lncRNA from 1 species